rnacentral:tRNA from 2 species
GCGGGCGUGGCGGAAUGGUAGACGCGGCAGACUCAAAAUCUGCUUUCGCAAGAAGUGCCGGUUCGAGUCCGGCCGCCCGUACCA